AGUUUAAGAGAUAAAAACAUAGUUUCUGUUGGUAGUCAGAACCUAUAUAUAAUUUAAUAUAGCAGUAACCUGCCCUCCUGGGGUUGUCCAUUCUCUAUAAGUUACAU
rnacentral:ncRNA from 1 species